UUUUCGUGCCUCUCCUGUUUGGUCCCGUCUCUCUCUAACCCUGAAUGUACCCUUCUCCGGUCUUCCAUUUUACCCUGUUGUUCUCAAACGUCCAGCUCUCAACAGGUUGGAAGACCGACUCAUUAUCAUUUGCACAAAAGAGCGGAUGUUCGGGGCCACACACGAGAGCCACGGCCGUAUCGUACGGAGGGACGACGCUAGUCGGGGUGACUCGAACCUGUGGCCGCCCCCUCCCAUCCAGGCUCCCCGGCCGCGGGUCUCCUCACCGCACGCCGGGAAGAAGGGCUCGUCCCUGUUGCCUGUCGGGGCGGUGGUCAGUCGGCAUGGCGUCCAGCCUUCUUUGUAGAUAAAAUUGAAAGUUCGGUGCCGUCCUUUUGUCCGAAGACUUGGAGUUAGGGUUUGCCGAGUUUCCUACAUA
rnacentral:telomerase_RNA from 1 species